rnacentral:rRNA from 1 species
AUGAAGCUGGAAUCGCUAGUAAUCGCGGAUCAGAAUGCCGCGGUGAAUACGUUCCCGAGUCUUGUACACACCGCCCGUCACACCAUGGGAGUCGGAAAUGCCCGAAGUCUGUGACCCAACCUACGGGAGGGAGCAGCCGAAGGCAGGUCGGAUGACUGGGGUGAAGUCGUAACAAGGUACC